GAGCAGAAGAGAAAAACAACAGCAUAACAAAAUGCGUUAUUUUGGCAAAAUAACUGCAUAACGGAAUUAGUAAUUUUCAUGUUAUUAACAUAACAUAUUGAGUUAUAAACUUGGCUGUCAUAAGCGGCAAAAUAACAAGUCACAUAACAAAAAUUUGUUCCUGAAAAAUCAAUUUAAUAACAUGUUUUGUUAGUGGCAAUAACAACUUAAUAACAGUGAAUUUGGGAAAUAUUUCAAUAACAAAUUUUGAUAUUAAAGAGUUAUUGAUAACAUUUCGAAAGCAAAAUUAGGGUAAAAACUAACUUUUUUUACUCAUUUUUGGGUAAUUAUUUUAAGUGUGUUAUUCUAUUUUUAGAAAAUAACAGGUCACAUAAAAAAAUUUUGAAUUCAUUAUAAAACUUACAAACAUGGACGGGAUUUGAAACUCCAAUCCUGCUAUCGUAAAUUUUCAGUCGCCUUUACCAAUGAGGCUAUCACAGCACUUGCAGUGAGGGACGAUAGAAGCUUUACUGGUUCUACGUACUGCCAGUUUCCCUAUUCCCCCAUUUCAUGUUUGCCAGUCGCAGGACAAAAAUAGACAGAGAUUUGAAUGCAAGAUCAAACAAUGAACCUCUCUCUCUUACCAACAGCGCUAUCGCGGUGCGCAGACAUGCGCACUGAAACACUAAUAACAGUGGUGGCGUUCGCAUGGCCCGUCGUCGGCUGUUUCGGAACAAAGAGAACGACAAAAAAGUUGCUAGUCGACUAUUUAUGAUUGAGCUUCGUCAUGGGGUGCAUUUUGGCGGCGACAAAGAUUCUUUCCGGACGGAGAUGAUUUUUUUUUAUUUUUUGUUUUGUUCGCGUUGUGAGAACGGCGAUUAUACACGUACCUACGUGAGCGAAGGUAAAAGGUAAUUAUAUCAUAUGCCGAUAUGAUUACUUCUGCAGAUGCUGUUUAGUUUUAUUCUGUUUAGGAUUAUUUUUAGUAAUGAAAAACGAUAUUUAUGACAUAAUGUCAAACAAUAUAUGAUCGAAUAAUAAUAGAUCGAAAGAAAAAAGUUAUAAUAGACAAAUGCAAUCACCAAUUGAGCAGAAUUGUCUGUAUAGUUGACAUUUUUAUUGAUUAGAAUUAUUUAGUAGGUACCAUAUUUGCUAUCUCCACUCUCACUAACAUUCAUUACUUCGUAAUACAUAGUCUGUUCGGUACUUUUUGACGUUAUAAUUAGAGGUUAGAAUAGCAGUACUGUUAAAAUGACAUAUAAAUUCAACUAAGUUUACUCAAUUUUGAGAUAAAAAAAAACUCAUUUGCAGAUGUAUCACUUUUUGAAGCUAAAAUUAUACUUAACCUAUAAGAAUUGGGAAUCGUAGAAAAGUGAUAGGAAUUUGGCACCGUAACGGGACUGGGAUAUUGAAAAAAGGAAAUUAAUACAAAGAUAAACAUAUCAAUAGCUAUGAUGCUAUAUUUACCCAAAACUCAAAUUAUAGCAAUGAAUAAAAUAAAAAAUACGGAAGAGUCUGAUGAAAUUUCUAGAUAUUGCAAUGCCUUUAUUUUUUACUUCAUAAUAUGAAACAGCAGACAAUAAAAUAAAGCAGGUAAACUAUGUAAUGGUUAUAUCUGCGAUAAAUUUUCUCCGGUUUUGACAAUAUUGAUCUCAUUUGAUCCAGAUUUAUUUUUUCCAUCAAAAACAAAUCCGACUGAAGCGAUCUGGUCAUCGUGAGUUAAGAAAAAACCCGAAUUGCCAUACACGUGGAAUUUUCCAUAAACCAGCUGCAAUUGGCUUCUUUAGUGGUGUUGAGAUAAUUCCAUAUUCACAAUCUACAUGCCAAACUGAGCCGAAAUCCAAAUUUUUAUGAACUUUGGUACCGUAAUCCGGGGUAUCAUUGAUCAGCGGGGUAACAUUGAUCGGCUUGACCCACCUCAGGAAAUGUUCAAACAAGCAUUUUACAUUGAAUCAGUUUCUGCUAUCGAAUGGUAUAUCGUAAUCUGCAAUCAUUUAGCUAUUAAAUGACAUGCAAUUCAUGAAAAUUGAAUUUCAUAAACAUUGAAAUAAAUCGAUUUUUCCAUAACUGUGUUUCGUAACGCAAUGAGAUACAUUGUCAAACAUUCAUGCUUGGCGUGAAUACUAGAUACAGUAUGAGGUUUGAAAUCACUGUAUUACUUCAAUAUGAUAUCCUGGAGUUGGAUUAAAGAAAUGAAACUUCUAUGAAAGUGCUCUUUUUCAAUAAAAUAUACGAUUUUUUAAAAGAAGGCAUUAAAUUUCUUAAGCCAUUGCCUACCUUUAGGCGUUAUUCGCAGUUUAGAGGAUUUUAAUCUUUAAAUAACUUAAAAAGUACUAAACUUGUAAGAAUUUGGACAACAUAUUCGAAAUCAGCGUCCCCGAAUUUAGUAAGUAAGGGUAUUUUCAACACAAACGAACAUUGAUCACUAACAUGAUCAAUGUUACCCCAAAUCAACAAAAUCAAAAAUUAGAUUAAAAAGUCUAUUUAAACAUGUUUUAAAGUUUUACAAUACUUUUUCGAGUAGCUUAACAUAUACUUAGAGGGCCAGUACUUGUUUUAAAAAUAUAAAACAUGUAACGUUUGCUUUAACAAGAGAAUUAUUCAAGGUAGAACGAAAAUUCUGAUCAAUGUUACCCCGGAUUACGGUACCCGGGAACCUAUUUAAAAAUCGAUUUAAAGUUUGUAUGGGAGCGAUUUGUCGAAUCACCCCUCGUCGCAUUUCGUACUGGGCGGAGCUGUCAAGCAGUUGCCCAGCUGUCAAAAGGUGAUUUCAAAAAAUCUUUUUGUAAUUGAAUUUAGGUAUCAAAAUAAAGUUUUAAAAAUCUGAAAAAAAUCAUACUGGCUUAUAAAAAGGUGCUCUUUCGAAUAAAAUCAAAAAAUCAA